CAGUCGUGAAGCAACAUCCUAUGGAGGAUUAAUAUUAGCAUGAUACCAAAUCACAAAUGAUAAAAGAGAAUUACCAAAGAUGGAACAAGACAAAUUGUAAUGAAAAGGUGAAGGAGAAACAAAUAUGCUUAGGCGAGAGAGAAAGAGAGAGUGAGAGAGAAGACAGGGGAGAAGUCAAGAGAGAAUUGCAAACUUCUAACACAAUCUCGCCACCAAACUUCAAGAAAGAUCACACACGACUGAAAGCAGCUGUGACCAAUGUUGGAUUCCUGUACUCAUAAGCUUUCUCGUGUUGUAUUACACGACCCAAUAGACGUAGGCCUAAAUACUCCAGUGCAGCCAAAUCGACCAUGCACGUAACUGUAUACUUGAGCGGUGUACGUGUAUAAAUUUAGUGCGUAAGAAAGAAUUAUGCCCAUAG
rnacentral:misc_RNA from 1 species